GUGCCCCAGAGGAAGGUCAGCUGCUCAUCGGGGGUGGGGAAGGAGGAGCCCAAGAGGAGACCUGGCAGGUUGUCAACUAAAUCUACUGCCAAAGUGGAAACAAAGCCAAAGAAGGCAACAGGAAAGGAUGAAUCUUCAGAUACAAAAGGGAAAAAGGGAGCAAAGGGAAAACAGGUGGAAAUGGCCACCAAGAGACUAAAGAUUUACCUGCAUCAAAUGGAGAGACUGAAAACAAGGAA
rnacentral:lncRNA from 1 species